rnacentral:rRNA from 1 species
CAUGCAAGUCUACUUGAUCCUUCGGGUGAAGGUGGCGGACGGGUGAGUAACGCGUAAAGAACUUGCCUUACAGACUGGGACAACAUUUGGAAACGAAUGCUAAUACCGGAUAUUAUGACUGAGUCGCAUGAUUUGGUUAUGAAAGCUAUAUGCGCUGUGAGAGAGCUUUGCGUCCCAUUAGUUAGUUGGUGAGGUAACGGCUCACCAAGACGAUGAUGGGUAGCCGGCCUGAGAGGGUGAACGGCCACAAGGGGACUGAGACACGGCCCUUACUCCUACGGGAGGCAGCAGUGGGGAAUAUUGGACAAUGGACCAAAAGUCUGAUCCAGCAAUUCUGUGUGCACGAUGAAGUUUUUCGGAAUGUAAAGUGCUUUCAGUUGGGAAGAAGUCAGUGACGGUACCAACAGAAGAAGCGACGGCUAAAUACGUGCCAGCAGCCGCGGUAAUACGUAUGUCGCAAGCGUUAUCCGGAUUUAUUGGCCGAAAAGCGCGUCUAGGCGGUUUAGUAAGUCUGAUGUGAAAAUGCGGGGCUCAACCCCCGUAUUGCGUUGGAAAACUGUUAAACUAGAGUACUGGAGAGGUAGGCGGAACUACAAGUGUAGAGGUGAAAUUCGUAGAUAUUUGUAGGAAAUGCCGAUGGGGAAGCCAGCCUACUGGACAGAUACUGACGCUNAAAGCGCGAAAGCGUGGGUAGCAAACAGGAUUAGAUACCCUGGUAGUCCACGCCGUAAACGAUGAUUACUAGGUGUUGGGGGUCGAACCUCAGCGCCCAAGCUAACGCGAUAAGUAAUCCGCCUGGGGAGUACGUACGCAAGUAUGAAACUCAAAGGAAUUGACGGGGACCCCGCACAAGCGGUGGAGCAUGUGGUUUAAUUCAACCCAACCCGAGGAACCUUACCAGCGUUUGACAUCCCAAGAAGUUAACAGAGAUGUUUUCGUGCCUCUUCGAAGGAACUUGGUGACAGGUGGUGCAUGGCUGUCGUCAGCUCGUGUCGUGAGAUGUUGGGUUAAGUCCCGCAACGAGCGCAACCCCUUUCGUAUGUUACCAUCAUUAAGUUGGGGACUCAUGCGAGACUGCCUGCGAUGAGCAGGAGGAAGGUGGGGAUGACGUCAAGUCAUCAUGCCCCUUAUACGCUGGGCUACACACGUGCUACAAUGGGUAGUACAGAGAGCUGCAAACCUGCGAGGGUAAGCUAAUCUCAUAAAACUAUUCUUAGUUCGGAUUGUACUCUGCAACUCGAGUACAUGAAGUUGGAAUCGCUAGUAAUCGCAAAUCAGCUAUGUUGCGGUGAAUACGUUCUCGGGUCUUGUACACACCGCCCGUCACACCACGAGAGUUGGUUGCACCUGAAGUAACAGGCCUAACCGUAAGGAGGGAUUCCCAGGGUGU